GACGAACGCUGGCGGCGUGCUUAACACAUGCAAGUCGAACGGUGAAGCGCCUUCCUUUUUGGUGGGUGUGGAUGAGUGGCGAACGGGUGAGUAACACGUGAGUAACCUGCCCCCUUCUUCUGGAUAACCGCAUGAAAGUGUGGCUAAUACGGGAUAUUCUGGGUCUGUCGCAUGAUGGGUCUGGGAAGGAUAUUGUUUCGGUGGGGGAUGGGCUCGCGGCCUAUCAGCUUGUUGGUGGGGUGAUGGCCUACCAAGGCGGUGACGGGUAGCCGGCCUGAGAGGGUGGACGGUCACACUGGGAAUGAGACACGGCCCAGACUCCUACGGGAGGCAGCAGUGGGGAAUAUUGCACAAUGGGCGCAAGCCUGAUGCAGCGACGCCGCGUGAGGGAUGGAGGCCUUCGGGUUGUGAACCUCUUUCGCCAGUGAAGCAGGCCUGCCUCGUUUGUGGGUGGGUUGACGGUAGCUGGAUAAGAAGCGCCGGCUAACUACGUG
rnacentral:rRNA from 1 species